UGCAAUGAUAGAGGCGCGGAAUCGCAAGAGUAUCCGGCAUACCCUGCAAUGGGGCAGAGCACCCCGCCGGAGAAAGGGCCCUUCCGCCGAAGGGCCGGUCCCCUGCCUGGAGGACCGGUUGCCUGGGCCGUUGGGAUAACAUCUCACGGACUGCCACAUAUCAUCUGUGUGGAGCGCUAUCAUUGAG
rnacentral:ncRNA from 2 species